rnacentral:rRNA from 1 species
AUUGAACGCUGGCGGCAUGCCUUACACAUGCAAGUCGAACGGCGGCACGGGUGCUUGCACCUGGUGGCGAGUGGCGAACGGGUGAGUAAUACAUCGGAACGUACCUUAUCGUGGGGGAUAACGCAGCGAAAGCUGUGCUAAUACCGCACACGCCCUGAGGGGGAAAGCGGGGGAUCGCAAGACCUCGCGCGAUUAGAGCGGCCGAUGCCUGAUUAGCUUGUUGGUGGGGUAAAAGCCCACCAAGGCGACGAUCAGUAGCUGGUCUGAGAGGACGAUCAGCCACACUGGGACUGAGACACGGCCCAGACUCCUACGGGAGGCAGCAGUGGGGAAUUUUGGACAAUGGGGGCAACCCUGAUCCAGCAAUGCCGCGUGAGUGAAGAAGGCCUUCGGGUUGUAAAGCUCUUUUGUCAGGGAAGAAACACCGGCUCUAACACGGUCCGGGAAUGACGGUACCUGAAGAAUAAGCACCGGCUAACUACGUGCCAGCAGCCGCCGUAA